rnacentral:rRNA from 1 species
GGUUAGUAGCAAUACUAACUGCUGACGAGCGGCGGACGGGUGAGGAACACGUAGGAACCUGCCCUCAAGCGGGGGAUAACUAAGGGAAACUCUAGCUAAUACCGCAUAAUCUCGAGAGAGAAAAGCUACCCGCAAGGGCGGCACUUGAGGAGGGGCCUGCGUCCGAUUAGCUAGUUGGUGAGGUAAAGGCUCACCAAGGCGAUGAUCGGUAACUGGUCUGAGAGGACGACCAGUCACACUGGGACUGAGACACGGCCCAGACUCCUACGGGAGGCAGCAGUGGGGAAUAUUGGACAAUGGGGGCAACCCUGAUCCAGCGAUGCCGCGUGAGUGAAGAAGGCCUUAGGGUCGUAAAGCUCUUUAGGUUGGGAAGAAGGUUAUUUGUUUAAUAGACAAGUAAUUUGACGGUACCGACAGAAUAAGCACCGGCAAACUCUGUGCCAGCAGCCGCGGUAAUACAGAGGGUGCGAGCGUUAAUCGGAUUUACUGGGCGUAAAGGGCGCGUAGGCGGUAAGAUGAGUGUGGUGUGAAAGCCCCGGGCUUAACCUGGGAAGUGCAUCACAAACGAUCUAACUGGAGUAGAUGAGAGGGUGGCGGAAUUUCCGGUGUAGCGGUGAAAUGCGUAGAGAUCGGAAGGAACGUCAAUGGCGAAGGCGGUCUCCUGGGGCAUUCUUGACGCUGAGGCGCGAAAGCUGGGGGAGCGAACGGGAUUAGAUACCCCGGUAGUCCCAGCCCUAAACGAUGAAUACUAGGUGUCGGGGGUAUCGACCCCUCCGGUGCCGCCGCUAACGCAGUAAGUAUUCCGCCUGGGGAGUACGGCCGCAAGGUNNAACUCAAAUGAAUUGACGG